UACGUAGGUGGCAAGCGUUGUCCGGAUUUAUUGGGUUUAAAGGGUGCGUAGGUGGCCCUGUAAGUCAGUGGUGAAAUAUCUCAGCUUAACUGAGAGGGUGCCAUUGAUACUGCAGGGCUUGAGUACAGAUGAGGUAGGCGGAAUUGACGGUGUAGCGGUGAAAUGCAUAGAUAUCGUCAAGAACACCGAUAGCGAAGGCAGCUUACCAAGCUGUAACUGACACUGAGGCACGAAAAGUGUGGGGAUCAAACAGGG
rnacentral:rRNA from 1 species